rnacentral:lncRNA from 1 species
UGAUGGUCGAUAGUUUCAUGCAAAACCGAAUGGUGAUCAAAUGCAUGAGGAUAUUGUUGUAGAUGUGAGGGGAAUUCUUCAUAGGAUUGGAAAUGGGUGGGUUGUAUGGAAUAAAUGUAAAAGGUUGUUGUUGUUGAAUGGAGGGGAUAUCUAAGUUUUGUUGUUCAUCAUGAUCGUGUUGGCUUAGGAUUUCAUCAUUAUCCUCACUAAAUGGAUCUAAUGAUGAUGAAGGUAAGCCUAAUAUUUUAUUUUCUUGCAAAGUAUGAGGGGAUCACUAGUGGAAAAAUGACCUUUUAUAACGUACAAAAAUGACCUUUUAUAAUGUAGUUACUGGGGAUAUAGUUCUGG